rnacentral:rRNA from 1 species
UCGAGCGAAGCGUAUUAGCGGAAGUUUUCGGAUGGAAGCGGAUAUGACCUAUCGGCGGACGGGUGAGUAACGCGUGGAUAACCUGCCUCAUACAGGGGGAUAACAGUUAGAAAUGACUGCUAAUACCGCAUAAGCGCACAGGACCGCAUGGCCCGGUGUGAAAAACUCCGGUGGUAUGGGAUGGAUCCGCGUCUGAUUAGCUGGUUGGUGAGGUAACGGCCCACCAAGGCGACGAUCAGUAGCCGACCUGAGAGGGUGGCCGGCCACAUUGGGACUGAGACACGGCCCAAACUCCUACGGGAGGCAGCAGUGGGGAAUAUUGCACAAUGGGGGAAACCCUGAUGCAGCAACGCCGCGUGAGUGAAGAAGUAUUUCGGUAUGUAAAGCUCUAUCAGCAGGGAAGAAGAAAGACGGUACCUGACUAAGAAGCCCCGGCUAACUACGUGCCAGCAGCCGCGGUAAUACGUAGGGGGCAAGCGUUAUCCGGAUUUACUGGGUGUAAAGGGAGCGUAGACGGCUGUGCAAGUCUGAAGUGAAAGCCCGUGGCUCAACCGCGGAACUGCUUUGAAAACUGUAUAGCUUGAGUACUGGAGAGGCAGGCGGAAUUCCUAGUGUAGCGGUGAAAUGCGUAGAUAUUAGGAGGAACACCAGUGGCGAAGGCGGCCUGCUGGACAGAAACUGACGUUGAGGCUCGAAAGCGUGGGGAGCAAACAGGAUUAGAUACCCUGGUAGUCCACGCGGUAAACGAUGAAUGCUAGGUGUUGGGGAGCAAAGCUCUUCGGUGCCGUCGCAAACGCAGUAAGCAUUCCACCUGGGGAGUACGUUCGCAAGAAUGAAACUCAAAG